CAAUAGCGUAUAUUAAAGUUGUUGCAGUUAAAAAGCUCGUAGUUGGAUUUCUGAUCGAGACAUCAGGUCGGGUCCGGGAGGAUCAUGUACUUUGAUUUUGUUUUGAUCAUCCUUGGGGAGAGCAUUUCUGGCAUUCAGUUGUCGGGAUUGGGAUCCUCAUCGUUUACUGUGAAAAAAUUAGAGUGUUCAAAGCAGGCCUCGGCCUCUGAAUACAUUAGCAUGGAAUAAUAAGAUAGGACUUUGGUGGUCUAUUUUGUUGGUUUGCACGCCAAAGUAAUGAUUAAUAGGGAUAGUUGGGGGUAUUCGUAUUCAAUUGUCAGAGGUGAAAUUCUUGGAUUUAUGGAAGACGAACUACUGCGAAAGCAUUUACCAAGGAUGUUUUCAUUAA
rnacentral:rRNA from 1 species